rnacentral:rRNA from 1 species
CGGGACGGGUGAGUAAUGUCUGGGAAACUGCCUGAUGGAGGGGGAUAACUACUGGAAACGGUAGCUAAUACCGCAUAACGUCGCAAGACCAAAGAGGGGGACCUUCGGGCCUCUUGCCAUCGGAUGUGCCCAGAUGGGAUUAGCUAGUAGGUGGGGUAACGGCUCACCUAGGCGACGAUCCCUGCUGGUCUGAGAGGAUGACCAGCCACACUGGAACUGAGACACGGUCCAG